rnacentral:pre_miRNA from 10 species
AGACAGAGAAGCCAGGUCACGUCUCUGCAGUUACACAGCUCACGAGUGCCUGCUGGGGUGGAACCUGGUCUGUCUGUCU